GGCCGGUCGGGCGCGGUCGGACGGGGCCGGUUCGGCCCAAAGUGGCCGGGCCGGUCCGGUUUACCCCCUUUUUUUUCUUUUAGGCCUUUCUUUUUCUGUUUUUCUCAUUUCUUUGAUAUCUUUUGAGUUUGAACUCCAAAUUGGUCCAAAUAAAUUCCAGAAAAUUUGUAAAAUCAUGUUCUAUCAAGAUACAACUUUUGGGGGUAGUUUCCCCUCAGAAUAAAUUAUAUAAAAAUACAUUUUCUCUAGAAAUGCCUCUAGGGCUAUAUAUCUAUUUAAAUAAAAUACUUUUCCAACUCCAAAUAAUUAUCCAAAAAUUAUGGGAUAGCUUCUAUAUGCAUUAAACCCCUUUUAUACAUAAACCCUAUUGGUUUGAAAAUCCAAAGCUUAAAUGGGUGUAAACAAAGUCUUUUAAAGCCCUUUUGAGAUUCAAAUAUGCAAUUGUGGCAUGAUGCUCAU
rnacentral:lncRNA from 1 species